rnacentral:rRNA from 1 species
AACGAACGCUGGCGGCAGGCUUAACACAUGCAAGUCGAACGCAUCCUUCGGGGUGAGUGGCAGACGGGUGAGUAACGCGUGGGAACGUGCCCUUCAGUUCGGGAUAACCCAGGGAAACUUGGGCUAAUACCGGAUACGUGCGAGAGCAGAAAGAUUUAUCGCUGAAGGAUCGGCCCGCGUCUGAUUAGCUAGUUGGUGGGGUAAUGGCCCACCAAGGCGACGAUCAGUAGCUGGUCUGAGAGGAUGAUCAGCCACAUUGGGACAGAGACACGGCCCAUACUCCUACGGUAGGAAGCAUGGGGGAAUGUUGGACAAUGGGCGCAAGCCUGAUCCAGCCAUGCCGCGUGAGUGAUAAAGGCCUUAGGGUUGUAAAGCUCUUUCGUCCGGGACGAUAAUGACGGUACCGGAAGAAGAAGCCCCGGCUAACUUCGUGCCAGCCGCCGCAGUAA